rnacentral:rRNA from 1 species
AUGCGAGUCAUUGUAGCAAUACAAGGCAGACGGCUCAGUAACGCGUAGUCAACCUAACCUAUGGACGGGAAUAACCUCGGGAAACUGAGAAUAAUGCCCGAUAGAACACUAUACCUGGAAUGGUUUGUGUUCCAAAUGAUUUAUCGCCGUAGGAUGGGACUGCGGCCUAUCAGUUUGUUGGUGAGGUAAUGGCCCACCAAGACUAUUACAGGUACGGGCUCUGAGAGGAGUAGCCCGGAGAUGGGUACUGAGACACGGACCCAGGCCCUAUGGGGCGCAGCAGGCGAGAAAACUUUGCAAUGUGCGAAAGCACGACAAGGUUAAUCCGAGUGAUUUGUGCUAAACGAAUCUUUUGUUAGUCCUAGAACCACUAACGAAUAAGGGGUGGGCAAGUUCUGGUGUCAGCCGCCGCGGUAAAACCAGCACCUCAAGUGGUCAGGAUGAUUAUUGGGCCUAAAGCAUCCGUAGCCGGCUCUGUAAGUUUUCGGUUAAAUCUGUACGCUUAACGUACAGGCUGCCGGGAAUACUGCAGAGCUAGGGAGUGGGAGAGGUAGACGGUACUCGGUAGGAAGGGGUAAAAUCCUUUGAUCUAUUGAUGACCACCUGUGGCGAAGGCGGUCUACCAGAACACGUCCGACGGUGAGGGAUGAAAGCUGGGGGAGCAAACCGGAUUAGAUACCCGGGUAGUCCCAGCUGUAAACUAUGCAAACUCAGUGAUGCAUUGACCUGUGGUCAAUGCAGUGCUGCAGGGAAGCCGUUAAGUUUGCCGCCUGGGAAGUACGUACGCAAGUAUGAAACUUAAAGGAAUUGGCGGGGGAGCACCACAAGGGGUGAAGCCUGCGGUUCAAUUGGAUUCAACGCCGGAA